GGCUCUGCUGUGUGCCAUUCUUUAAAAAGAAAAAAAAAAGAAAUGAAAAAAGUGUGUUAAACAAAGAUGUUGUAGUAAGGACGAGACCAUUCACUCCGACCAACCACGCACAGGUUAAGAUGCCGGUUGACCAGAUCAGAAAGUCGGUUAUCUUCGCUUUGUACAUUAUCUCCCCUUGCAGAACCAAAGUGAGCAGAGUUAUUUCUAGGGAAUUAUUUGCCAGCAACGUAAAAUACACUAUAACCCUCAAUAAAAAAGAAGAAAAAAAAAGCGCCCAGACCUCGGUGAAGUUCAGCGAUCAUUAAGGUUGUAAUUUACACCUGUGUUGUUUAGAGGAUCUGCUUCUCCUGCGGCUGCUGAGCGGACGCAGUGCACUCAGUGCUUGUUCCGGUUAACCUACUGGAAAGUGUGUUGAAACAUAUUAGCUGCGGAGUUAACUCGUUUAUCGUGAAGAAAAGAAAAGAAAAGAAAAGAAAAGAAAAGAAAGGACAAGAGGAAACAACCGCGCGCACCAACGAGUGGAGUAACGGGGAUGCUAGGCUACAGUUAGCUUUGCCAGGCCACCAGACGGAGGCAGCACCUUGCUCCAGGGUUUGAAAGACCAUCCAUCCAUCAAUCGUUGCUGUACUCACUUGUUUUGGUGCUUGGAGCCCUGGACGUGUGCGUGGUACUGCUCAAUGGAGUUGAGGACCACACUGCAGACACUGCAGGAGUAACUACUGCGCAGCCCUGGAGGGACAGAGACAAACACAACCACACACAGGUCAGAGAGGCAGAAACCUGACGACGACCGCUCGGACUCACAAGAGUACGUCCCUGAAUGUGCGUACCACACAGAGGAAGAGGCAGACGCGGGUCCGUGUUCUCUCCUGUUAAGUGUUUAUUGGUAACAGGUGAGGGGUAAUUCUGACACGGAUUUGAUUUCAGAAGCAUCAGCAACUCCGACACGUAGCGCAGAUCGCUUACACACGGCCAUAUAUAGAGGACAGCUGACACUGAAGGAGCUAAAUCAAAAUGAAUGUCUUCCUGUCGCCACCCUAUACACCAGACGGUGAAGGGAGAGCGAGGACAGGAGAGUGUCCUGCCAGCGUCAACUCCAACACAACUUUCCCCUUGUGAUUAACAUCUUCUUUACUCUUGUCCACAGCUUAUCAAACUCACAUAGAGCUCUGCUCUUAUUUCUAUCACAACAAUGGCAAUAAAUGUAUGUGCCUUAGGCCUUACAUAAGGAAAACUAAACUGGACUAUGUUUAAACAUGAAGAGCUCUCCUUAAGCGUCAUUUAAUUCUUCAAAAGCUUAGUCAGUUCAUUUAUUGCAAACCCUUCCAAUAUUAGGUCCGUUAAAUUCUCAAAUAAUUUGCUUUUAAUCUUCCCCCCUCUUCUCUCUCAUUGUGACAAAUCAAGAAACCAGUGACGAACGCGACUUUGCGUCGACCUGAAACUCAGGCGCUGUGAAAAUGAUUUAUAGUGAGGUGGCAGACAGAACUGUGUCAUCCUCACUGUUCCAACAUGAUACUUGUCAUCAGAUGUCUGGAGCUGUAUUUUUACACAAACAACACCCGCAGACUUGGAAUAUGCAUGAGAUUCUGUCAUGUGGUUGCCGGGUGAGAAGCAAAUUAUCUGCAGAGAUGUUAAGGACAGUUUUUUUUUUUAUUCAACACCCAAACUUGAAUAUAAUUAAAACUGCACAUUUCAUGGCUAUGUUCAGCAUGGGUUUACAUAUAUGUAUAUAUCAUUAUCAUUCACAAAACAGGAUGUAUAUCUCUGCUGUUGCAGCCACUUACACCUUUAUCAUUUGUGCAUGACCAAUGCUAUGACUUCUGUUGACCUCACAAAAUUUUACAUGUCUCCUGCUGCGCUGUGAAUACUGUCGUCCUUUUUCUAACCCUCUGGUCUUCAGUUGGUCGCUAUCGCCAUCUAGCGGACUAAAGAACACAGUGCAGUUUCCAUCAGUAUGCCUUAUGUAUCAAUGGACCCCAAUCUUCAUUAGCUUGUGACCAGCCUUAAUGCUAUGGUACUUGCAACCCCCUUUUUUAAAGGUUAUAUAUUUCUACAACUUGUGGUGUAUGUGAUGCUUCCCUCUCAGAUGUAGAUUCAGGUGAAAUUAUGAUUCACAAGAACAAGCUACAAAUGUUUGAAGUGACUUGAAGUAGAUAAUCUUGUGAUGGAAUCUUGUUAAGCCCCUUAAAAAGCUAGAUAGAUAGAUGUACUUUAUUCCGGUGUUACAGCAGCAAGGUAUCAGGCACAAAACAAAUCGUACAAAUAUGUAAAAUAUAAGAACUACAAAUGUAAAAAUAUUAGAACUGCAAAACUGUGCAAGUAUAUGGAAUAUAAAUAUAAAGAAUGUACAUAACAUUAGUGCAAGUAUGUGCAAAUGGUUACCACUUGCGUGCAUAAGAACAUGGUAUUUGCGAACAUGGUAUAUUAGAACAUGGUAUAACAUUUCCUAUAACAGUCCGUGCCUUUUGGAGAGGAUGGUCAGAAUUAUGAUGGAUACAAAUUAAAAGUAUGAACCUGAAUAUGAGCAUAAUAUGUCACCUUUAAUAUAUUGCAUAGAAGGCUUCUUGCACCACUAAUGCUAUAUUUGAUUCACAAAAUAAUGUCAGGAUAAUCCCAACAUACACAUCUUGACCCAAGUGAUUUUGCUCAGCUGAGUAUAGCAAUACACAUUAUACUAAAAGAUACAGAACUAUAAUAAACAUACUCUUUACACUUUUCCCCAGUAUCCUAAUUUUUUUGGAAAUAUCAAGGAUAAGGGACGCCCUCGCCUCUAGUAGUAUGCCUGAUGAACCUCAAGAUGGCACUAGAGCUCUGAUGCCGCCCUCCAUGCUUGUGGCCUGAGAUAAGAGGAGAGAAAAAAAAAAACUGGAGAGCGCAUGAGAAAGAGAGAGAGAGAGAGCGCGAUAGAGUGAAGUCGAAACCUCAGCAAUGUUUUAUGACAGACAAUUAGCUGAGUGCUUCCAUUUAAACCAACAUUAAUUAAAUUUAUGGCAAAUUGAGUUUGCACAGUGGAAUUGCGUUUUCUCUACUGAAAUCACUUUGAGUUGAUUUACUCCAUCUUUUCUACUUGGUUGCCCAUAAUUAGAUCCAAAUGACUCAGUCCUCAUUACAGAUGUCUCCCCGGAAUUUAAAUACUUGUGUUGACUUGCUGUUCAUCUGCCCGUGUGUGUGUGUGUGUGUGUGUGUGCCUUGGCUUGGGCCUGGAGGUAUUUAAUGAUGUAACAUUACAUGUACAUUACAUUCUGUGUGCAGCGCGGUCUGUGUUCUUCUCCACGGUGGUUGAUGAGCACGCUUUGGCAGCGGGUCACACUGAUGUUCUCAGCCCUGCCUGAGCUGCCUGGUACUUUACCGCCCGGCCGACAGUCUGGGUGACUCAUGUUCGAGCUCCUCUCUGGCUCUGCCCGGGAGGUGGUUUCAUUCCUAGUCCCCUUGAAUCCCAGUUUCUAUUUCAUCCCAUCCCAACCUUCCACUCGACAAAUCCCUCAAAAAGUUUCCCUUUGGUCCAAUGCUUCUUAUCUAGAUGUCUUUUGGAAUACUCAGGCAGGAAUACUGUACAGAGAACUAUGCAUUUUACCCCACGUGCAUGCGAUUAUAGAGAUGCACGUGCGUGCAUGUGAACACACAUUUAUACUUAUGCUCAGUAUUUAGAUGGUGCAAUAUGUACAUUGGCAUGCCUUUACGUUUGACUUUGACUUUACAAAUUAAUCUCCCCGUCAUCAUUUCCAAACAUGUUGAACUGAAAUCUCUACCUAAGCUCUGUGAAUUUCCAUUCCCCUGUGUAUCCAUGCCGCUCUGAACAAUGACAUGAUCCUCAAAUGGCUUUAUUCUAAAUCCCCGUAAAUCCGUAACAACCACCGGCAUGAAAGUAAAGCAGGGUAACCCUUUCCAACAAGCCAUUAUUCUCUUUCCUCUAAACAAAAGGCACUCGGCUUUCCAGCUAACAAGAAGGAACUCAUGGUCUUGUGGUUGAAACCGAACAAAAACAUUUUGACCGUGCGCUACAGGGUCUCUCUGCAGUCACAGCCAUGAAUGUGGGCAUGUGUGUGAGACCAUGGCCCUGUGUGUGUGUGUGUGUGUGUGUGUGUGUGUGUGUGUGUGUGUGUGUGUGUGUGUGUGUGUGUGUGUGUGUGUGUGUGUGUGUGUGUGUGUGUGUGUGUGUGUGUGUGUGUGUGUGUGUGUGUGUGUGUGUGUGUGUUACAAGGGCUUACUAAGUGUACCUCGGAGACUCUGGAGAUCAUGCUUUCCAGUCUGCAGCCCCUAGGCUUUGGAAUAGUCUCCCCAUAGGCCUGAGGUCAUUGGAUUCUUUGGACUGGUUCAGACUGCCAUUUGAGUAGGAUGUGCUUUUAUUUGACAAUAAUGUUUCAUCCAUGCCUCGGUUUUUAUCCUCGUUUGAGUUUUUAUUGAUUUCUAAGUCUAAGUUUCUUGUGUAUUUUCUCGUAUGUUUUAUCCUAGUGAAGCACUUUGUGAUGGUUGUCUGUGAAAAGUUCUAUAUAAAUAAAUAUUGCUU